rnacentral:rRNA from 1 species
GAUGAACGCUGGCGGCGUGCCUAAUACAUGCAAGUCGAGCGAAUGGAUUAAGAGCUUGCUCUUAUGAAGUUAGCGGCGGACGGGUGAGUAACACGUGGGUAACCUGCCCAUAAGACUGGGAUAACUACGGGAAACCGGGGCUAAUACCGGAUAACAUUUUUAACCGCAUGGUUCGAAAUUGAAUGGCGGCUUCGGCUGUCCCUUAUGGAUGGACCCGCGUCGCAUUAGCUAGUUGGUUAGGUAACGGCUCACCAAGGCAACAAUGCGUAGCCGACCUGGGAGGGUGAUCGGCCACACUGGGACUGAGACACGGCCCAGACUCCUACGGGAGGCAGCAGUAGGGAAUCUUCCGCAAUGGACGAAAGUCUGACGGAGCAACGCCGCGUGAGUGAUGAAGGCUUUCGGGUCGUAAAACUCUGUUGUUAGGGAAGAACAAGUGCUAGUUGAAUAAGCUGGCACCUUGACGGUACCUAACCAGAAAGCCACGGCUAACUACGUGCCAGCCGCCGCUGUAA